rnacentral:rRNA from 1 species
CUUUUUGGGGUGGGGUCUAUCUGCAGUCGAGCGGAAGAGGGAGCUUGGUCCCGGAUGUUUUCGGCGGACAGGUGAGUAACACGUGGGUAUCCUGCCUGUAUGACUGUGGUAACUCCGGGAAACCGGAGCUAUUACCGGAUAUAUCCUUGAACCCCAUGGGUCUCGGAUGAAAGACAGUUUCUUCUGUCCCUUUCAAAUGGACCCCCGGCUCAUUUACUUAUUGGUGAGGUAACGGCUCUACCAGGGCACCAUGGCUAACCCAACUGAAAGGGUGGACGGCCCCCCUGGGACUGAAAACCGGCCCAAACCUCCACCGGAGGCAGCAAGAGGGAAACCUCCCCCAUGGGCGAAAGUCUGACGGAACACGCCCCCCGUAGUGAAGAAGGUUUUGGAACCAAAAAUUUUUUGUUUAGGAAAAACAAUUGGUGAAUAAAUGGGUGGCCCCUUGCCGGUCCUAACCAAAAGCCCCGGUUACUUUCUGCCGCAACCCGGGAAAACU